UACCCUUGACAUGUACGGAAGCCUUCAGAAAUGAGGGUGUGCUCGAAAGAGAGCCGUAACACAGGUGCUGCAUGGCUGUCGUCAGCUCGUGUCGUGAGAUGUUGGGUUAAGUCCCGCAACGAGCGCAACCCUUGUCCCUAGUUGCUACGCAAGGGCACUCUAGGGAGACUGCCGGUGACAAACCGGAGGAAGGUGGGGAUGACGUGUCUAGGAGGGUG
rnacentral:misc_RNA from 1 species